rnacentral:sRNA from 1 species
UAGUGAAAUCAGGGUAACGAAUCUCAAC